AUAUAGCGACUCUCCGAUGGCCACCAAAUGUGGCAUUUCUGUGUUUAUCCGCUAUCCAUCCGCGCCCAAGUCACGGGCAACGGUGCGGUAGGUACCCGUCGACCCCCGCGCUAUGGCUGUCGGAAGCGAAGCUUUCACGCUACAGCGGUGCAGCUGGAGGACCAACAUGCGGGGAAGGAGGACCUUCGCGCCAUGACCGUGGGGGCAGAGCUUCCACACCGCGGCGGCACAGGUAGCCUCGGCCACGUCAUCCGCGUCCGUGUUCGCGUGCUCGAGCCAGCAGUGGAGGCCGCCUUUGUUGCCGGGGAAGAAGCUCGAGGCAAAGCCUACGACGAUGACUAGGUGGAGUAGCUGGCGAACGCAGCCGUCGCGUGUGCGAGCCAGCCAGGUCGCCGGCGGUGAACUAUGCCAACUGCUGGACGACGCAUGGUACUUUAUGUUGACGGAUUGAAGCCAAACCUUUUGGUUAAUUAGUAGUUUUUGUUUUGUAAAAUAAUAUAUUUUGUUAAUUAAGUUGGUAUAUUAAAAAGGUUGGGAUAUGAUGAACUUUA